rnacentral:misc_RNA from 1 species
GAAAUGCGAUAAGUAAUGUGAAUUGCAGAAUUCAGUGAAUCUUCGAAUCUUUGAACGCACAUUGCGCCCCCCAGCACUCUGGCGGGCAUGCCUGUUCGAGCGUCAUUUCAACCCUCAGAACCCCUUGCGGGAUCUGGCGUUGGGGAUUGGCAUCCAGCCAGCCCCGAAAUCUAGUGGCGGUCCCUCCGCGACCUCCCCUGUGCAGUAGCGAUACCUCGCAGCGGGACAGCGGUCUGACCACGCCGUAAAACCCCCAACUUCUCAAGGUUGACCUCGAAUCAGGUAGGAAUACCCGCUGAACUUAAGC